rnacentral:rRNA from 1 species
GACGAACGCUGGCGGCGCGCUUAACACAUGCAAGUCGAACGUGAAGCCGGAGCUUGCUCCGGUGGAAAGUGGCGAACGGGUGCGUAACACGUGAGCAACCUGCCCCGAAGACUGGGAUAACACCGGGAAACCGGUGCUAAUACCGGAUACCUUCUUCCGAUCGCAUGGUUGGAUGAAGAAAUGGAUUCCGCUUCGGGAUGGGCUCGCGGCCUAUCAGCUUGUUGGCGGUGUAAUGGACCACCAAGGCGACGACGGGUAGCUGGUCUGAGAGGAUGGCCAGCCACAUUGGGACUGAGAGACGGCCCAGACUCCUACGGGAGGCAGCAGUGGGGAAUCUUGCGCAAUGGCCGAAAGGCUGACGCAGCGACGCCGCGUGUGGGAUGAAGCAUUUCGGUGUGUAAACCACUGUUGCCCGGGACGAAACCGCCUAUUCGUGGGCGUUGACGGUACCGGGUGAGGAAGCACCGGCUAACUCCGUGCCAGCAGCCGCCGUAAU